AGUGGCGGACGGGUGAGUAACACGUAAGAAUUUGCCUUUAGGAGGGGGACAACAACUGGAAACGGUUGCUAAUACCCCAUAUGCUUUCGAGUGAAACGGAUUUUUCCGCCUAAAGAGAAGCUUGCGGCUGAUUAGCCUGUUGGUGAGGUAAUGGCUCACCAAGGCGACGAUCAGUAUCUGGUUUGAGAGGACGAUCAGACACACUGGAACUGAGACGCGGUCCAGACUCCUACGGGAGGCAGCAGUGGGGAAUUUUCCGCAAUGGGCGAAAGCCUGACGGAGCAAUACCGCGUGAGGGAUGACGGCCUAUGGGUUGUAAACCUCUUUUUUCAGGGAGGAAUCAAAUGACGUGUACCUGAAGAAUAAGCAUCGGCUAACUCCGUGCCAGCAGCCGCGGUAAGACGGGGGAUGCAAGUGUUAUCCGGAAUCACUGGGCGUAAAGCGUCUGUAGGUGGUCAAAUAAGUCAACUGUUAAAUCUUGAGGCUCAACCUCAAAAUCGCAGUCGAAACUAUUAGACUAGAGUAUAGUAGGGGUAAAGGGAAUUUCCAGUGGAGCGGUGAAAUGCGUAGAGAUUGGAAAGAACACCGAUGGCGAAGGCACUUUACUGGGCUAUUACUAACACUCAGAGACGAAAGCUAGGGUAGCAAAUGGGAUUAGAUACCCCAGUAGUCCUAGCCGUAAACAAUGGAUACUAGAUGU
rnacentral:rRNA from 1 species